rnacentral:rRNA from 1 species
UACAGAGGCCUCGAGCGUUAGGCGGAAUCACUGGGCUUAAAGCGUGUGUAGGCGGAUCGGUAAGUACCUUGUGAAAUCCCAUGGCUUAACCAUGGAACUGCUUGGUAUACUGGCGGUCUUGAGCCACUUAGGGGCUACCGGAACAAAUGGUGGAGCGGUGAAAUGCGUAGAUAUCGGGAGGAACACCGGUGGCGAAGGCGGCUCUCUGGACCGCAACUGACGCUGAGGCGCGAAAGCUAGGGGAGCAAACAGG